rnacentral:lncRNA from 1 species
CCGCGCUCGGCUCCGCAGGCAAGCUCCUCCCAGACCUUCGGCCGCCUCCACACGCCUCCGGAUUGGCCCGCUGCGGAGCCUCCGGCCCACAACGCAAACCGCGGACACUGUGGAGUCCAGAGCUUUGGGCAGAUGGAGGGCCUUUUAUUCGCGAGGGUCGGGGGUGGGGGUCCUAGGUGGGGACAGACAAUAAAUACCGAGGAAUGUCGGGGUCUCAGUGCAUCCAAAACGUGGAUUGGGGUUGUUGGGGGUCCUGUAGCCUGUCAGCGAGUCGGAGGACGAGGUCAAUAAAUAUCCAAACCGCCGAAGCGGGCGGAGCCGGCUGGGGCUCCGAGAGCAGCGCAAGUGAGGAGGGGGGCGCGGGAUCCCCGAAAAAGCGGGUUUGGCAAAAGCAAAUUUCCCGAGUAAGCAGGCAGAGAUCGCGCCAGACGCUCCCCAGAGCAGGGCGUCAUGCACAAGAAAGCUUUGCACUUUGCGAACCAACGAUAGGUGGGGGUGCGUGGAGGAUGGAACACGGACGGCCCGGCUUGCUGCCUUCCCAGGCCUGCAGUUUGCCCAUCCACGUCAGGGCCUCAGCCUGGCCGAAAGAAAGAAAUGG